UAAUGCCUAGGAAUCUGCCUGGUAGUGGGGGACAACGUUUCGAAAGGAACGCUAAUACCGCAUACGUCCUACGGGAGAAAGUGGGGGAUCUUCGGACCUCACGCUAUCAGAUGAGCCUAGGUCGGAUUAGCUAGUUGGUGAGGUAAAGGCUCACCAAGGCGACGAUCCGUAACUGGUCUGAGAGGAUGAUCAGUCACACUGGAACUGAGACACGGUCCAGACUCCUACGGGAGGCAGCAGUGGGGAAUAUUGGACAAUGGGCGAAAGCCUGAUCCAGCCAUGCCGCGUGUGUGAAGAAGGUCUUCGGAUUGUAAAGCACUUUAAGUUGGGAGGAAGGGCAGUAAGUUAAUACCUUGCUGUUUUGACGUUACCAACAGAAUAAGCACCGGCUAACUUCGUGCCAGCAGCCGCGGUAAUACGAAGGGUGCAAGCGUUAAUCGGAAUUACUGGGCGUAAAGCGCGCGUAGGUGGUUCGUUAAGUUGGAUGUGAAAGCCCCGGGCUCAACCUGGGAACUGCAUCCAAAACUGGCGAGCUAGAGUAUGGCAGAGGGUGGUGGAAUUUCCUGUGUAGCGGUGAAAUGCG
rnacentral:rRNA from 1 species